ACAGUCACAAACAAAAUCCACUGCCAACUCUGGAUUUUAACAAUAUCAAAUAGCAGUUUCUGCCAUGAUGGAAAUGACCAUGGUGGCCACUAAUAACAUGGGCCUAUUGCAUACUUGAAAGGGCACAAAAGCAAUAAACAUUCACUAGAGACCAUACUUUGGAUUUUGAUCUUCCCUGAGCUACAGAUACUCUCAUGAUGCUGGGCGGCAGCAGCAAGCCACAGCUCCCAGUCAACACACAAUCAUGAGGAUGAACAACUGAUACUCUACACUCACUUGGCCACUGCAUUGUCCAGCUGAGGUGACACUGGACACCCAGUAUCUCAGCCAGGCAUCAAGGGAGAGGGCCAAGACAAGCACAGAUGGAUCAAGAGACUCUGGGCUCCUGUCUAAAAAUCAUUUAAAGUGCAUGCAAUCUAAACAUCAAAGCAAUCACUCAAUGACCUUAGUUUAAAUUUUGGAUCAUCAAAGUAAAAUCCAAAGGGAAGAGAAAUUCUCUUCUGAGGCCUGUAGUAAUGACCUUACAGUUAUAUUUUUAUUUUGGUUUGGUUUGUUUUCUUCCAGUGCUUCAGGCUUUGAGAAGCUCUAGAUGUCCAACCAAAGAUAGAAAUCUGAAAAACAAGUGGAAAAUCUAAGUCCCCCAAAGCCUACUCAAAUUUCAGUCAGUAUUUCAAAACAGCAGCAGGUGACAAACACUUAACAGAAACUAGAAACCACCCACCUUGUGCUGCCUCACAAGGCACAGUUUUUCUCC